GUCUAAAGAACAUUUUUGUCUGCUCAGUACCUAUAUGACAUUUUGGGGGGUACUUCCCCUUCCUAAUUGCAUCUGGUUCUACUGGUUCGUAGCAGUGUUUGUUGUAGCUACCCUCCAGCCCCCGAAUCCAUCCACAGCUAUGGCAAGGAGUCCAGACCAGGUCAAUCAUGGGAACCCAUCAAGGAUGAGAUUGAGAUUCAAGCAGGGCCAGAUUACUUCCCUGCAUUUGCAAAGACAUGUCCACUUUCUGCUGGGAGGAGGUGAAUCUAAGGUUACAUUCUAGCCAUUUUCUCUGCAACAUAGUACUCGUCUGUGGAAAGAAACCAACAUACAAAAGGAAGAAGCAGAUGGUGGAUGGAGACAAAUCUUCGAAUAUAUCUCUUAGAUUGCAGAAGAAGACUGGACUCUAGCACACUACCAGAAAUGGAGCAAAGAGACCAAACCAGUCAAUCCUAAAGGAAAUCACCCCUGAAUAUUCUUUGGAAAGACUGAUGCUGAAAUUGAAGCUCCAACACUUUGGCCACCUGAUGCAAAGAGACAGCUCAUUGGAAAAGACCCUGAUUCUGGGAAAGAUUGAAGGCAGGAGAAGGGGACGACAGAGGACGAGAUGGUUGGAUGGCAGCAUUGACUCAAUGGACAUGAGUUUGACCAAACUGUGGGAGAUAGUGAAGGACAAGGAAGCCUGGCAUGCUAUAGUUCAUGGGGUCUCAAAGAGUCGAACACGUCUGAAUGACUGAACAACAAGCUCCCCUGGGCUCAGAUACAGUUUUGAGGGCAAGAGCCUGUUGUGUCCCCCUUUGCCUUUCAAAGUAAUAAAACUAUUGUUUUCUACUUCAAGCAAAACCAAGAUUGGAUUUGGCACUAGUGCUCAGAGGCUGAGCUUUUGAAAUCAUUUUAACCUAAGGGUAUAUGAUGGAGAAGGCGAUGGCACCCCACUCCAGUACUCUUGCCUGGAAAAUCCCAUGGACGGAGGAGCCUGGUGGGCUGCAGUCCAUGGGGUCGCUAAGAGUCGGACACAACUGAGCGACUUCACUUUCACUUUUCACUUUCAUGCAUUGGAGAAGGAAAUGGCAACCCACUCCAGUGUUCUUGCCUGGAGAAUCCCAGGGACGGGGGAGCCUGGUGGGCUGCCGUCCAUGGGGUCACACAGAGUCAG
ensembl:lncRNA